rnacentral:tRNA from 1 species
GAGGCAUAGCUCAGCUGGUUAGAGUGCUUGCUUGACAUGCAAGAGGUCACAGGUUCAAUUCCUGUUGUCUCC